UUAGAGUUUGAUCAUGGCUCAGGACGAACGCUGGCGGCGCGCUUAACACAUGCAAGUCGAGCGAGAACCCACCUUCGGGUGGGGGAAAGCGGCGAACGGGUGAGUAACACGUGGGCAACCCACCCUUGGUAUCGGGAUAGCCCGGGGAAACCCGGAUUAAUACCGGAUGGCCCAGCAGCUCUUCGGGGCGGCUGGAAAAGGUAGCUUCGGCCUCCGACCAAGGACGGGCCCGCGGCGGAUUAGCUUGUUGGUGGGGUAACGGCCUACCAAGGCGACGAUCCGUAGCUGGUCUGAGAGGACGAUCAGCCACACUGGGACUGAGACACGGCCCAGACUCCUACGGGAGGCAGCAGUGGGGAAUCUUGCGCAAUGGGCGAAAGCCUGACGCAGCGACGCCGCGUGGGGGAAGAAGGCUUUCGGGUUGUAAACCCCUUUCAGGUGGGACGAAGCCACUCGGGUUAAUAGCCCAGAGGGUGACGGUACCGCCAGAAGAAGCCCCGGCUAACUACG
rnacentral:rRNA from 1 species